CCUCCCCCAGCCUCAUGCUUCAAAAAAGGCAGCAGGCCUGGGAUGUGUGCUCACUCCAGGCCACUGUGUCCUCUGUUCCGGGUGGUAUCACCCGCAGCUCUUCGCCUCUGUCCUACGGAGCCACACCAUCAAGAAGUGGAACAGUUGGACUCAACCCCCUCCUGUCUACUCACUCUCUCCUCCUGCCCCUACCAGCUGCCUUCUGCUCUCUGCAAACCAGAGACUGCACUGAUCUCAUUCCAGCUUUAGAGAUGGUGAGUAAACCCCACAAACCAUCAGGACCCUAGGGUCUGGCUCUGAAGAAAUCACUGGGAAACUGGAGACAAACUAUACUUUGGAAUAAAAGGGAAAAACACCUGGAACACCGCAAGUGACUUUGAAGGAAGGCAACGAUGCCAGUAUUCUGAUCUCCCCUCACCCCGAAGGCUUCUCCCCCUCACCCAGAGCACAAGUGGCCACCUACAGUGGGAAGCCCUCAACCAGCCUCUCCACCUUCUGAGCUCCAUCUUGGCAGAAGAUCCUCCAUACUGUUCUGCAGAAUCCCGGCCCUCCCUUGGUUCUUUCUCAAGAUUUCUCCAAGCUGCAGAGUCUCAUGGAGACAGACUGUGCCCAUACCGCACUCCCUCAGGUCCCAGCAUCUCAGCAGCAGGUAAUCCAGGGACCCUGUGGUUACACUGUGACCACUCAGAUAAUCCGGAAGAGCCUCCUCCUUUAAGACCAGCUGAUAAACAACUUCAGUUCCACCUGCUGCCUUGCAUUUCCUUACGUGGUCUCGGGUGGAAGGAGGCUCUUCAGGAGAACUCGAGGAGCUGUAUUCUACAUCUAGUGGUGGUGUAGACAGUGAGAGACAACCCAGAUGGCUGACCCAGGCGACGGGCAGGGGCUGAUGUGCACAUGGAAAAAUCUAGAAGUCCCUUCUUCCCACCGCCCCCACCCUUGCCAGGACCUCACCUGUGACCAGCAGUUCCAACGUAUCACUGGGGUGAGACCAGACACCCAGAUUCCAGCC